rnacentral:rRNA from 1 species
UGGAGCAUGUGGUUAAUUCGAUGAUACGCGAGGAACCUUACCUGGGCUCAAAUGUAUGUUGACGUAUUCUGAAAGGGAUACUUCUUCGGACAAUAUACAAGGUGCUGCAUGGUUGUCGUCAGCUCGUGCCGUGAGGUGUCGGGUUAAGUCCCAUAACGAGCGCAACCCUAUCAUUAGUUGCCAUCAGGUCAAGCUGGGGACUCUAAUGAAACUGCCUACGCAAGUAGUGAGGAAGGUGGGGAUGACGUCAAGUCAUCAUGGCCCUUACGGCCUGGGCUACACACGUGCUACAAUGGUCGGUACAAAGGGUUGCCAAGCCGCGAGGUGGAGCUAAUCCCAUAAAACCGAUCGUAGUCCGGAUCGCAGUCUGCAACUCGACUGCGUGAAGUCGGAAUCGCUAGUAAUCGUGAAUCAGAAUGUCACGGUGAAUACGUUCCCGGGCCUU